GAUGAAGAACGUAGCGAAAUGCGAUAAGUAAUGUGAAUUGCAGAAUUCAGUGAAUCAUCGAAUCUUUGAACGCACAUUGCGCCCCCCAGUAUUCUGGCGGGCAUGCCUGUUCGAGCGUCAUUUCAACCAUCAAGCCCUGCUUGUGUUGGGGUCCUGCGGCUGCCCGCAGGCCCUGAAAACCAGUGGCGGGCUCGCUAGUCACACCGAGCGCAGUAGCACAUCUCGCUCAGGGCGUGCGGCGGGCUCCAGCCGUUAAAGCACCCACCUUUCGCAAGGUUGACCUCGGAUCAGGUAGGAAUACCCGCUGAACUUAAGCAUAUCAAUAAGCGGAG
rnacentral:misc_RNA from 1 species